UUUUUUUUUGAAUUAGGAUCUAUUUUAUUAUACAAAUCCGAUUCGAGAUCCAUUAAUAUGUAAGGCUCUUAGCGUAACUCGGGAAAACGAGAGACAGGUAAGGAAAAUAAAGGAAAAUGUUGAGAAUUGCUUGAGAGAGGGGAACUCAAUGUUCGAGUAAUUUUCUGAUUUUUUUUUCUUUUCUCUCAUUCUUUCAAGAUCCAAAAUGGGGCUAAUCGUCAAUUCUAUGGUUCUUUUCUUUUUCUCCACUAAGUUUCUUUACUUUCUCUUCCCUUGCACCGAUUUUAUACGUUAUCUGAUAGUUGUUUGAUUGUUCCUAAGUAGGUUCUUCUAAAUCUGCACUUUAAUGAACAAUAUUCCUGCCCCUUUGAUCUUUACAUUAGGUUGUUGUUUAGUAUUUGGGAAAAAUAGAUCCUGGAAGCUAUUGAAAAUCUUUGGUACUAAUAUUAUUGCAGCACAAGAGCAUAGCCUUUUUGUUGAUAAAACAUCCAUUGGCUUCUUCAGAGUGAUGGAAAAUGGCUGCCUUUUGGGACAUGAUUUCUUAGGAAUAGGCUCAAUUUUCCUGCUUUAUUUA
rnacentral:lncRNA from 1 species